rnacentral:rRNA from 1 species
GACGAACGCUGGCGGCGCGCUUAACACAUGCAAGUCGAACGGAAAGGCCUGCUUUCCCUUGUGGAUUGCGGGUACUCGAGUGGCGAACGGGUGAGUAACACGUGAGUGAUCUGCCCCCAACUUGGGUAUAAACCUGGGAAACUGGGUCUAAUUCCCGAUAGGACUGCAGGGUGGUGCCUGUGGUGGAAAACGAUUUUCUAGUGGUUGGGGAUGAGCUCGCGGCCUAUCAGCUUGUUGGUGGGGUAAUGGCCUACCAAGGCGGCGACGGGUAGCCGGCCUGAGAGGGUGGACGGCCACAUUGGGACUGGGAUACGGCCCAGACUCCUACGGGAGGCAGCAGUGGGGAAUAUUGCACAAUGGGCGGAAGCCUGAUGCAGCGACGCCGCGUGGGGGAUGACGGCCUUCGGGUUGUAAACUCCUUUCGACCGCGAGGAAGCCACCUGGUUGGAAGGGUGGUGACGGUAGUGGUAGAAGAAGCACCGGCUAACUACGUG